UACGAAGGGGGCUAGCGUUGCUCGGAAUCACUGGGCGUAAAGGGUGCGUAGGCGGGGCUUUAAGUCAGGGGUGAAAUCCUGGAGCUCAACUCCAGAACUGCCUUUGAUACUGGGGAUCUUGAGUCCGGGAGAGGUGAGUGGAACUGCGAGUGUAGAGGUGAAAUUCGUAGAUAUUCGCAAGAACACCAGUGGCGAAGGCGGCUCACUGGCCCGGUACUGACGCUGAGGUGCGAAAGCGUGGGGAGCAAACAGG
rnacentral:rRNA from 1 species